UACGAAGGGGGCUAGCGUUGCUCGGAAUCACUGGGCGUAAAGCGCACGUAGGCGGAUCUUUAAGUCAGGGGUGAAAUCCUGGAGCUCAACUCCAGAACUGCCUUUGAUACUGGGGAUCUCGAGUCCGGGAGAGGUGAGUGGAACUGCGAGUGUAGAGGUGAAAUUCGUAGAUAUUCGCAAGAACACCAGUGGCGAAGGCGGUUCUCUGGGACGGUACUGACGCUGAGACGCGAAAGCGUGGGGAGCGAACAGG
rnacentral:rRNA from 1 species